AUACUAGCUUGCUAGUAGGCGUCGAGUGGCGGACGGGUGAGUAACGCGUAGGAAUCUGCCUGAUAGUGGGGGAUAGCCCGGAGAAAUUCGGAUUAAUACCGCAUAAUCUAUUCGUAGUAAAGUGGGGGACUUUCGAGCCUCACGCUAUCAGAUGAGCCUGCGUAAGAUUAGCUUGUUGGUAGGGUAAAAGCCUACCAAGGCGACGAUCUUUAGCUGGUCUGAGAGGAUGAUCAGCCACAUCGGGACUGAGACACGGCCCGAACUCCUACGGGAGGCAGCAGUGGGGAAUAUUGGACAAUGGGGGCAACCCUGAUCCAGCAAUACCGCGUGUGUGAAGAAGGCCUGAGGGUUGUAAAGCACUUUCAAUUGUGAAGAAAAGUUAACGGUUAAUAACCGUUAGCCUUGACGUUAACUUUAGAAGAAGCACCGGCUAACUCCGUGCCAGCAGCCGCGGUAAUACGGAGGGUGCAAGCGUUAAUCGGAAUUACUGGGCGUAAAGCGUGCGUAGGCGGUUUAUUAAGUCAGAUGUGAAAGCCCCGGGCUUAACCUGGGAACUGCAUUUGAAACUGGUAAACUAGAGUAUGGUAGAGGAAAGUGGAAUUUCUGGUGUAGCGGUGAAAUGCGUAGAUAUCAGAAGGAACAUCAAUGGCGAAGGCAGCUUUCUGGACCAAUACUGACGCUGAGGUACGAAAGCGUGGGUAGCAAACAGGAUUAGAUACCCUGGUAGUCCACGCCGUAAACGAUGAUAACUAGCCGUUGGGGGGAUUUACCCUUUAGUGGCGAAGCUAACGCGUUAAGUUAUCCGCCUGGGGAGUACGGCCGCAAGGUUAAAACUCAAAGGAAUUGACGGGGACCCGCACAAGCGGUGGAGCAUGUGGUUUAAUUCGAUGCAACGCGAAGAACCUUACCUGGUCUUGACAUCCUGCGAACUUUCUAGAAAUAGAUUGGUGCCUUCGGGAACGCAGUGACAGGUGCUGCAUGGCUGUCGUCAGCUCGUGUCGUGAGAUGUUGGGUUAAGUCCCGUAACGAGCGCAACCCCUAUCCUUAUUUGCCAGCACAUUAUGGUGGGAACUAUAAGGAGACUGCCGGUGAUAAACCGGAGGAAGGCGGGGACGACGUCAAGUCAUCAUGGCCCUUACGACCAGGGCUACACACGUGCUACAAUGGGAAGGGCAAAGAGCCGCGAAGCCGCGGGGUGUAGCUAAUCUCAUAAACCUUUUCGUAGUCCGGAUUGGAGUCUGCAACUCGACUCCAUGAAGUCGGAAUCGCUAGUAAUCGUAGAUCAGAAUGCUACGGUGAAUACGUUCCCGGGUCUUGUACACACCGCCCGUCAUACCAUGGGAGUGGGUUGCACCAGAAGUGGCUAGUCUAA
rnacentral:rRNA from 1 species